rnacentral:rRNA from 1 species
GAUGAACGCUGGCGGCGUGCCUAAUACAUGCAAGUCGAGCGAACGGACGAGAAGCUUGCUUCUCUGAUGUUAGCGGCGGACGGGUGAGUAACACGUGGAUAACCUACCUAUAAGACUGGGAUAACUUCGGGAAACCGGAGCUAAUACCGGAUAAUAUUUUGAACCGCAUGGUUCAAAAGUGAAAGACGGUCUUGCUGUCACUUAUAGAUGGAUCCGCGCUGCAUUAGCUAGUUGGUAAGGUAACGGCUUACCAAGGCAACGAUGCAUAGCCGACCUGAGAGGGUGAUCGGCCACACUGGAACUGAGACACAGUCCAGACUCCUACGGGAGGCAGCAGUAAGGAAUCUUCCGCAAUGGGCGAAAGCCUGACGGAGCAACGCCGCGUGAGUGAUGAAGGUCUUCGGAUCGUAAAACUCUGUUAUUAGGGAAGAACAUAUGUGUAAGUAACUGUGCACAUCUUGACGGUACCUAAUCAGAAAGCCACGGCUAACUACGUGCCAGCAGCCGCGGUAAUACGUAGGUGGCAAGCGUUAUCCGGAAUUAUUGGGCGUAAAGCGCGCGUAGGCGGUUUUUUAAGUCUGAUGUGAAAGCCCACGGCUCAACCGUGGAGGGUCAUUGGAAACUGGAAAACUUGAGUGCAGAAGAGGAAAGUGGAAUUCCAUGUGUAGCGGUGAAAUGCGCAGAGAUAUGGAGGAACACCAGUGGCGAAGGCGACUUUCUGGUCUGUAACUGACGCUGAUGUGCGAAAGCGUGGGGAUCAAACAGGAUUAGAUACCCUGGUAGUCCACGCCGUAAACGAUGAGUGCUAAGUGUUAGGGGGUUUCCGCCCCUUAGUGCUGCAGCUAACGCAUUAAGCACUCCGCCUGGGGAGUACGACCGCAAGGUUGAAACUCAAAGGAAUUGACGGGGACCCGCACAAGCGGUGGAGCAUGUGGUUUAAUUCGAAGCAACGCGAAGAACCUUACCAAAUCUUGACAUCCUUUGACAACUCUAGAGAUAGAGCUUUCCCCUUCGGGGGACAAAGUGACAGGUGGUGCAUGGUUGUCGUCAGCUCGUGUCGUGAGAUGUUGGGUUAAGUCCCGCAACGAGCGCAACCCUUAAGCUUAGUUGCCAUCAUUAAGUUGGGCACUCUAAGUUGACUGCCGGUGACAAACCGGAGGAAGGUGGGGAUGACGUCAAAUCAUCAUGCCCCUUAUGAUUUGGGCUACACACGUGCUACAAUGGACAAUACAAAGGGCAGCGAAACCGCGAGGUCAAGCAAAUCCCAUAAAGUUGUUCUCAGUUCGGAUUGUAGUCUGCAACUCGACUACAUGAAGCUGGAAUCGCUAGUAAUCGUAGAUCAGCAUGCUACGGUGAAUACGUUCCCGGGUCU